rnacentral:misc_RNA from 1 species
ACGUGGCGGUCGCAAGGCCGUCGCUGAGAUAGAACCCUUGCUUUUUCGAGUACCCAACGUUUCCUCGGUGGGUCCGCCCGCCAACGGGGACACAACCAAAACCUUUUUUUGCAACCUGACAUCAGUCUGAAUGACAAACAAAUCAAUCA